CUCUGCCACUGCACCCAUUCCAUAUAUAGCUCCUGAGAACUGCCAUCUCCAGCUCUCUGCCUCCCUCCCUGCUCCAUUUCUGCUUCUGAAGCCUGUGCCCAGUUCUUGGCCGCUGCUGUGGUCUUUGGGCACCCACUACAGUACAACAGGAUGGCUGAGAAGCAGGAACAACCUCCAGUAGCCCAGAAUGGUGAAAAGGCUGAAAAUGCAGAGGAAUCUGCGGAGGCAGAAAAGCCGAAGGAACUGGAGGAAUUGCCACCCUUUGAAAUUGUCACAGGGGAACGGCUUCCAGCCUGCUUUUUCAAUUUCCAGUUCAAGAAUGUCGAAUACAGUUCAGGAAGAAACAAGACUUUCCUAUGCUAUAUCAUAGAGAUUCAGGGCAAGGAGCCCAAAAUGUUACGGGGCUACUUGGAAGAUGAACAUGCAGCAGCCCAUGCAGAAGAUGCCUUCUUCAAUACUAUCUUGCCCAAGUGCGAGUCUGGCCUGUGCUACAAUGUCACCUGGUACUCCAGUUGUAGCCCCUGUAUAGGCUGUGCUGAUCGGAUAACUAAAGCACUUCAGAAGAAUAAGAACCUACAUCUCUCCAUGGCAAUAGGUCGUCUGUUCAUGUGGGAGGAACCUGACAUGCAAACCGCCUUGAAGAAAAUGAAAACAGCUGGUUGUAAAUUGAGGAUCAUGAAACCUCAAGAUUUUGAGUAUGUCUGGCAAAACUUUGUAGAGCAGGAGGAAGAAGCAGCAAAGGCAUUUACACCCUGGGAAGACAUUCAAGAGAACUUCCAAUUUUAUGAUGAAAAGCUUGCUGAACUUUUGCACUGAGUGCUUCCAGAGUCUGAAUCCCAUGGAAUCCAUUUUUUCUUCACUCACCACUUCCAUAUGGCAGUGACUCCAUGUAUCUACAUUAGGAAAAAAUGUGCCAACCCAUGGAGCAACAAGCAUGGUAUACUCUUAACAUUUGGGACUCUCAACUCAGUUUUCCAGAGCUGCUUUGAAAUAGGAAACACCAGAAGUCUCCAGCUGACACACUGCUAUGCUGAUAGACUAAAAAUACAUGUAGAGAUCUGGUUUUUUUAAAUACAUAAACCUGCAGUGCUGUUAUUCACAUAGAA